rnacentral:rRNA from 1 species
UACAGAGGGCCCAAGCGUUGUUCGGAUUCACUGGGCGUAAAGGGUGCGUAGGUGGCAUGGCCAGUUUGAUGUGAAAGCUCAGGGCUUAACCCUGAAAUGGCAUUGAAUACUGCUGUGCUGGAGGUUUGGAGGGGGGACUGGAAUUCUUGGUGUAGCAGUGAAAUGCGUAGAUAUCAAGAGGAACACCAGUGGCGAAGGCGAGUCCCUGGACAACACCUGACACUGAGGCACGAAAGCUAGGGGAGCAAACAGG